AUGCGGCGACGGGUAUGCCGGCGUGCCGGAGCCCUUGGGAGGCGAGUGGGACGACGGCGACGGGUAGGACGGGCUGGAAGGUUUGCCACCACCGGGCAUGGGAGUAGCAGGAGAGUACGCCGGGAACUGGCAUUGCGCCUUACUGCAGUCGAACGGGUGGGAGGCCGCGGCGGCGCACUGCGCCGGCGGCCGCUGCGCGGGCGCGCCGGGGAUGCAGUUCCACGCGCCGUCGGCGGUGGCCUGCGCGCAGCCGGGGCGCGAGGUGAUGAAGUUGUCGGUGUAGGUGAAGUUCUUGAGCCCGGCGAGGCCGCAGACGGCGGCCGGCACGGCGCCCUCGAAGAGGUUCCCGGCGACGUCGAGCUCCUCGACGGCCGCCAUCCCGCCAAUGGCCGCGGGGAGGGCCCCCUGGAGCCGGUUGCCGCUGACGUCGAACACCGUCACCUUCUUGAGCAGGCCGACCUGCGGCGGGACGCAGCCGGUGAGCAGGUCGUCGAUGAGCACGAUCUCGUUGAGCGUCUCCGCCAUCUUCCCGAUGGAGGGCGGGAUGCAUCCGCCGAGCCGGUUGUGCGCGAGCACGACGACGGAGGCCGGCGAGUUGCCGAGGUUGGCGGGGAUGGGGUUCCGCAGGCGGUUGGAGUUGAGGAAGAUGGCGUCGAGCGGGCGGUCGAAGAGCGCGGACGGGAUGGUGCCCUCGAAGUCGUUGAACCGGAGGUCGAGGUACUUCAAGGACGGCAGCGCGAGCACCACCUCCGGGAAGGCGCCGACGAAGCGGUUGUUGCUGAGGUCGAGCUCGUGGAGCAGGCGCAGGCGGCGGAAGGUGUCGGGCACCACCCCGCAGAAGCGGUUGGAGUUGAGGUGGAGCAGCGCCAGGUCCGGGAGCCCCAGCGGGAGGGAGGCGGGCAGGUAGCCGGCGAUGUCGGCGUGGUUGAGGUCGAUCCCGGCGACGGUCACCGCGCCGUAGGCAGACGGGGCGGGCGCGCAGUAGACGCCGUUGUAGCGGCAGACGUCGGGGCCGAGCCAGUUGGCGGUGAAGUUGGCCGGGUCGGAGAAGAUGGCCGUCUGCUUCCAGGCCUGGAGGGCCGCGUAGGCGGCCCGCAGGCGCGGGUUCGGGAACGGCCAGCUCGCCGGCGCGUCGAAGCGGGUGGCGAGCGACGCCGCGUACUGCUCCGGCACGUUGCCCUCCUGCUGCGCGCUCGCUGCGGUGACCGCGGUGACAAGCAGGAGCGCGAGCAGCGGCGGCAUGCCGCGCCGGAUCAUGGUUGCGUUGAGCUGUGA
rnacentral:rRNA from 1 species